rnacentral:misc_RNA from 1 species
UCUCCGUUGGUGAACCAGCGGAGGGAUCAUUACCGAGUUUACAACUCCCAAACCCCACGUGAACCUUACCAAACGUUGCUUCGGCGGGAUGCCCCGGGCGCGGGCCGCAAGGCCUCAGCCCCGGAACCAGGCGCCCGCCGGAGGCCCAAACCAAACUCUUGUUUUUGUAGAAUCUUCUGAGUGGCCUUUCAGGCAAAAAAUGAAUCAAAACUUUCAACAACGGAUCUCUUGGUUCUG